rnacentral:lncRNA from 1 species
GGGUCCCAGGGGGGUCCCCAGGCCGGGGGUCCGCUCUCACCGCGCAGCAGAGCCCUCACGAAGCGCCCGGCUCCCGGCACCGCCAGCCACCAACUCCCGGCAUCGCGCACGGUCAGGAGCCCCGCGGCCACCAGAGCCCUGCUGGGGCCACCAGAACCCGGCUGGGGCCACCAGAGCCCUGCCGGGGCCACCAAAACCCGGCUGUGGCCACCAAAACCCGGCUGUGGCCACCAAAACCCGGCUGUGGCCACCAAAACCCGGCUGGGGCCACCAAAACCCGGCUGGGGCCACCAAAACCCUGCUGUGGCCACCAAAACCCAGCCAUGGCCACCAGAACCCGGCUGUGGCCACCAGAACCCGGCUGGGGCCACCAAAACCCGGCUGUGGCCACCAGAGCCCUGCUGGGGCCACCAAAACCCUGCUGGGGCCACCAAAACACGGCUGUGGCCACCAAAGCCUGGCUGUGGCCAUCAGAACCUGGCUGUGGCUACCAGAACCCGGCUGUGGCCACCAGAACCCGGCUGUGGCCACCAGAACCCCCCAGAGCCACCCUGGGGGUCCCAAACCCCACCCUGGGCUGUCCCCAGGUCCCCCCAGGUGUCCCCAUGACCCCCAGGUGUCCCCAGGUGUGUUCCAGGUGUGUUUUUGGUGUCCCCAGGUGUCCCCAGGUGAGGUUUUUGUGUCCCCAGGUGUGUUCCAGGUGUCCCCAGGUGUGUUUUUGGUGUCCCCAGGUGUCCCUUACGUCACAUCCCUGUCCCCAGGUGUCCCCCCAGGUGCCCCCAGGUGUCCCCAGGUGUCCCCAGGUGUCCCCAGGCGUCCCUUACGUCACAUCCCUGUCCCCAGCUGUCCCCAGAUGUGUCUCAGGUGUGUCCCAGGUGUCCCCAAGUCCCCCAGGUGU